UACAGAGGUCCCGAGCGUUGUUCGGAUUCAUUGGGCGUAAAGGGUGCGUAGGCGGCGGGGAAAGUCUGAUGUGAAAUCCUGGGGCUCAACCCUGGAACUGCAUUGGAUACUUCCUUGCUAGAGUACUGGAGAGGAAACUGGAAUUUACGGUGUAGCAGUGAAAUGCGUAGAUAUCUGGAGGAACACCGGUGGCGAAGGCGGCAUCCUGGACCAAUAUUGACGCUGAGGAGCGAAAGCUAGGGGAGCAAACGGG
rnacentral:rRNA from 1 species